UUUUUUUUUUUUUUUUGUCUUUUUUUGCUAUUUCUUGGGCCGCUCCCAUGGCAUAUGGAGGUUCCCAGGCUAGGGGUCCAAUCGGAGCUGUAGCCGCUGGCCUACACCAGAGCCACAGCAAUGCGGGAUCCAAGCCACGUCUGCGACCUACACCGCAGCUCAUGGCAACGCCAGAUCGCUAACCCACUGAGCAAGGGCAGGGACCGAACCUGCAACCUCAUGGUUCCUAGUCGGAUUCGUUAACCACUGCGCUACGACGGGAACUCCAGUCUUUUUACUUUAAAUUGGUAGAAGGACUAAAGGAAUAUCAAUAUUUAUUAGUGCCUCAGUGUCAGAUACUGUAGUAUACAUUACCUCAUUUCAGUCUUACAAAAACCCUAGGAGUGAGAGAUCACCUUUGUUUUACAGAUGAAUUAUUCCUAUCAUGUCAUUGCUAACAUGAUAGGAAUAAUACUGGGAGAAGAAGGAGGAGGCGGGGAGGGGAGGGGGAGAAGGGAAAGGAGGGCAGGGGACGGGGAAAAGGAGGAGAAAGGAAUUGGAUUCCUUUGCCACAGACCAGCCUGAGCACAAUUUUAGCUUACCACCCUGCCUCUCUGGGAAACGUUUGUUUCUCAGGAUUUUAUAAAGUGACCUUAAGUGUUUUUUUCAGGUGUAACUUAGAUUAUUUGUCAACGUGGAACCUAAAUCCAGUAUAUAUCUUAAACCACAUGUAUGAUAAAACCAGUUUUUCCCUAAAUCACAAAUAAUUUGCCAUGCAUUCAAUGUUGUAAAAAAAAAAGGAAUUCAUUAAUAUACAAAUUUUUAACUCUAUGCAAGGCAUUGGUAUCAUCUAAUCCAUCUUUUCAUUUUUUCAAAGGAGGCAGUUGAACAUGAGGCUCAUAGUCACAAAACAGUUCAUGUAGAAUCACUUGAAUUGGAACCAAAUUGCCCUGGCUUGAUAUUUUGUACUCUUUAUCCAAUUCCAAGAACAAACUAGUAACAAAAUGAAUUGAGAGGAUUUAGAGAAGGAGAAAAGGACUUAGUGGGGGAGAGCCAUAAUAGACAAAUUCAAGUCAAAAAAAAAAUUACCCACGUGACAAUUUAAUAUGUUUGUGGGUUAAGGAGAAACACAGUUUUUAUUAAUAAGGAGGAAAAAAAAUAGUUUCACUGUUUGCUGCUCUCAUAUUCAUUAUUAAGAAUAUAAUAUGAUGCAGAUGAAUUACCUUUAUUUCUCUGAGGAUAAAAGAAAAACAAAUAAUAAAAUAAUAUAAAACUCAGUAGCAAAGCAGAGAUGUAGUGAUAGUAGAAAACAAAAAAGAGAAAAUAGAUUAUUUAAAAUGAUAAAUAAAAACUUAAGCAAACAAAAAAACAUACACAAACCAAAAAAAAAAAAAAAGCAAAAAAAAAAAAUAUUCCAAGGGCAAAUUUUAAUUACUUCUAUAUAUUAUGAUGUUUUCUUAAACAUUUUGAUGGCACAGAUCAGUCAGUACUUUCAUCUUUCAUGGACUAAGGGAGAGGACAGAGGUGGAAAUUAUUCUGCCCUUGGCUGUAA
rnacentral:lncRNA from 1 species